CAGCCAAGCAUAUUUUAUUGUUGCAUACAUAAUUCCGUAAUAUACGGUCGAAUUUUUCAUUGAUUUUACGCGCUUUUGAUAGACAUUUGAAAAAGGAAAAUUCAGGAUCUGAUCAACAUUAAACACUUUCUCCGGAUCUGUUAACGGCUUUGAAUAUCUUGAACGUUUUCUGUUCUUAUUGUAACAGUAAGCGGCUAGCGACAGUCCAUGUAAUAUUGCCGUACUUCCGUUACGUGAGGACGCGAAUUAUCACACUAUUUUUUGCGCCAAUUUCGUCUCAAUACUUUCGCCUAUCUAUGUCUAGAAGAAAUACGACAUUAGACGAACUACCUGGAAAUGAUCUGAUUCUUGCCAGAACCAUUACCGUUGUCGGAACGCAUUGACAAGAAUCGAAUCUGUGGUCCGGCCAUUCCGGCGAGCCUGUUUCGUGACAGGCAACACCGACAAAGAUCGCUUCGCGCGAAUAAAUUCAUCUGGUGGAAAACAGGUUUCAGAGCGCUGAAUAUUUAACUCAAUUUAUAGCGAAUGCUUUCAUGGUUGAAAAAUUAUUGUUAAACUUUGUUACACAGUUAUCCCCCCCCAUCCCCCCCCCCUCCCGUCGGUACCAAUGUUGCCUUACAUUAGCAAAUGUAUGGGGGAGUUAUAGUAAUUUAAGCAUACAAAACUAAAUUUGUGAUUUAUGCUUCCAGCAAUGAGCCAAAUGCUUUGACGAAGAUUGGACACUAUUAGGAAAAUUUUUUAUUAUAAUUGUACGUUUCGACAAAUCUAUUGUCAUCCUCUUAAUAAUAAUGCCUCUUGAAAGAAGCCAUUCAACAUGACAUUCCCUAUAAAUUGACUAUUUCUAAUAUUACAUGUUCUUCAUUGACAACAGAACUUUAUAGAUCUGACGAAGUGAACCUGUAUAAUUCUUAAGAAUUAUUAUUAUAAAAUAUAAAAAUUCUCAUAUUUAAAUUUUCGUCGU